GAUGAACGCUGGCGGCGUGCCUAAUACAUGCAAGUCGAGCGAACGGAUGAGAAGCUUGCUUCUCUGAUGUUAGCGGCGGACGGGUGAGUAACACGUGGGUAACCUACCUAUAAGACUGGGAUAACUCCGGGAAACCGGGGCUAAUACCGGAUAAUAUUUUGAACCGCAUGGUUCAAUAGUGAAAGGCGGUUUCGGCUGUCACUUAUAGAUGGACCCGCGCCGUAUUAGCUAGUUGGUAAGGUAACGGCUUACCAAGGCGACGAUACGUAGCCGACCUGAGAGGGUGAUCGGCCACACUGGAACUGAGACACGGUCCAGACUCCUACGGGAGGCAGCAGUAGGGAAUCUUCCGCAAUGGGCGAAAGCCUGACGGAGCAACGCCGCGUGAGUGAUGAAGGUCUUCGGAUCGUAAAACUCUGUUGUUAGGGAAGAACAAAUUUGUUAGUAACUGAACAAGUCUUGACGGUACCUAACCAGAAAGCCACGGCUAACUACGUGCCAGCCGCCGCGGUAA
rnacentral:rRNA from 1 species